UUUGUUCCUUAAAUAGGGACUUGUAUGAACGGCCACACGAGGGCUUUACUGUCUCUUACUUCCAAUCCGUGAAAUUGACCUUCCCGUGAAGAGGCGGGAAUAUAACAAUAAGACGAGAAGACCCUAUGGAGCUUUAAUUAACCGACCCAAAGAGACCUCAUUUAUCCAACCGACAGGAACAACAAACCUCUAUAUGGGCCGACAAUUUAGGUUGGGGUGACCUCGGAGAACAAAACAACCUCCGAGUGAUUUAAAUCAAGACUAACCAGUCAAAAGUACUACAUCACUUAUUGAUCCAAAAACUUGAUCAACGGAACAAGUUACCCU
rnacentral:rRNA from 1 species